GACGAACGCUGGCGGCGUGCUUAACACAUGCAAGUCGAACGGAAAGGCCCUGCUUUUGUGGGGUGCUCGAGUGGCGAACGGGGGAGUAACACGUGAGUAACCUGCCCUUGACUUUGGGAUAACUUCAGGAAACUGGGGCGAAUACCGGAUAGGAGCUCCUGCUGCAUGGUGGGGGUUGGAAAGUUUCGGCGGUUGGGGAUGGACUCGCGGCUUAUCCGCUUGUUGGUGGGGUAGUGGCUUACCAAGGCUUUGACGGGUAGCCGGCCUGAGAGGGUGACCGGCCACAUUGGGACUGAGAUACGGCCCAGACUCCUACGGGAGGCAGCAGUGGGGAAUAUUGCACAAUGGGCGGAAGCCUGAUGCAGCAACGCCGCGUGCGGGAUGACGGCCUUCGGGUUGUAAACCGCUUUCGCCUGUGACGAAGCGUGAGUGACGGUAAUGGGUAAAGAAGCACCGGCUAACUACGUG
rnacentral:rRNA from 1 species